AGCCACGCAGUGAGCACAUAGCGAACUAUUCUUUCGCCUUUUACUAAAGAAUACCGUGUGCGCGCUGCAAUUAGUGGCAUACGCCAAUUUUUGAAGGGAUUUUCUUAAUUGAAGAUC